rnacentral:misc_RNA from 1 species
GAUGAAGAACGUAGCGAAAUGCGAUAAGUAAUGUGAAUUGCAGAAUUCAGUGAAUCAUCGAAUCUUUGAACGCACAUUGCGCCCGCCAGUAUUCUGGCGGGCAUGCCUGUUCGAGCGUCAUUUCAACCAUCAAGCCCCAGGCUUGUGUUGGGGACCUGCGGCUGCCGCAGGCCCUGAAAACCAGUGGCGGGCUCGCUGUCACACCGGGCGUAGUAGAUUUUAUCUCGCUCAGGGCGUGCUGCGGGUCCCGGCCGUUAAAAGCCUUUUUUUAACCAAGGUUGACCUCGGAUCAGGUAGGAAGACCCGCUGAACUUAAGCAUAUCAAUAAGCGGAGGA